rfam:Vibrio mytili strain CAIM 528 contig00047, whole genome shotgun sequence.
GUUGCUUGGUGGCGCACUUGGACAAGUUCUUGGUGGGCAAACGUGUACUUCUAGUUUAGAGAAUCCAACGUUAGAAAGCCCGCCCUAGAGCGGGCUUUUUUAU